rnacentral:rRNA from 1 species
GACGAACGCUGGCGGCGUGCCUAAUACAUGCAAGUAGAACGCUGAAGAGAGGAGCUUGCUCUUCUUGGAUGAGUUGCGAACGGGUGAGUAACGCGUAGGUAACCUGCCUUGUAGCGGGGGAUAACUAUUGGAAACGAUAGCUAAUACCGCAUAACAAUGGAUGACACAUGUCAUUUAUUUGAAAGGGGCAAUUGCUCCACUACAAGAUGGACCUGCGUUGUAUUAGCUAGUAGGUGAGGUAAUGGCUCACCUAGGCGACGAUACAUAGCCGACCUGAGAGGGUGAUCGGCCACACUGGGACUGAGACACGGCCCAGACUCCUACGGGAGGCAGCAGUAGGGAAUCUUCGGCAAUGGGGGCAACCCUGACCGAGCAACGCCGCGUGAGUGAAGAUGGUUUUCGGAUCGUAAAGCUCUGUUGUAAGUCAAGAACGGGUGUGAGAGUGGAAAGUUCACACUGUGACGGUAGCUUACCAGAAAGGGACGGCUAACUACGUG